rnacentral:lncRNA from 1 species
GCUGCGAUUGUUGAUAGAGUUUGGGGAAGGAGACGAGACGAGAGGAGAGGACGGGGUCGGGUCGGGCGGGGCGGACGUCGCCGUCCGCGCGCGGCCCCGCUGCGCGAAAUGGGAGAAGGUUUUGGACCGGGACGGGAAGGGCGAUAUUUUCCAGGGGCGAAAUCGGACGGCGACGCGACGCGAUGCUCGUGAGGCCGUGCUUGGAAAGUAGUGGCCGGCGUCCACACAAUGCCCGGAGAAGAUCCAGAGGCUGCUGUUUCCGGCUGGGAAAUGUAACCAUUUUUAUGCCUGUUACUCUAAUUGUUAUUGUUAGCUCGUGGCACGGGAAUCUCAGUCUCCUGCUUGAAAGCUAUGGGAC